rnacentral:rRNA from 1 species
GACGAACGCUGGCGGCGUGCUUAACACAUGCAAGUCGAACGGAAAGGCCCUGCUUUUGUGGGGUGCUCGAGUGGCGAACGGGUAAGUAGCACGUGAGUAACCUGCCCUUGACUUUGGGAUAACUUCAGGAAACUGGGGCUACUACCAGAUAGGAGCUCCUGCUGCAUGGUGGGGGUUGGAAAGUUUCGGCGGUUGGGGUUGGACUCGCGGCUUAUCAGCUUGUUGGUGGGGUAGUGGCUUACCAAGGCUUUGACGGGUAGGCGGCCCGAGAGGGUGACCGGCGACAUUGGGACUGAGAGACGGCGCAGACGGCUACGUUAGGCAGCAGUGGGGAAUAUUGCACAAUGGGCGGAAGUGUGAUGCAGCAACGCUGCGGGUGUGAUGACGUUUUGUGGGUUGAGAAACGCUGUCGCUUGUUACGAAGCUGUUGUGACGGUAACGAGUAAAGAAGCACCGGCUAACUACGUG